GGUCGUAUAGUGUAGCGGUUAUCACUCGGGAUUUUGAUCGAUGCGGAGUUUCAAUUCGCAGCGAAAGUUCCCGAAACCCAGGUUCGAACCCUGGUACGACCU
rfam:Paxillus rubicundulus Ve08.2h10 scaffold_127_c1, whole genome shotgun sequence.